CCUACGGGAGACUGCAGUGGGGAAUAUUGCGCAAUGGGCGAAAGCCUGACGCAGCGACGCCGCGUGAGGGAUGAAGGUCUUCGGAUCGUAAACCUCUGUCAGCAGGGAAGAACGGUCACUGUGCUAAUCAGCAGUGAAUUGACGGUACCUGCAAAGGAAGCACCGGCUAACUCCGUGCCAGCAGCCGCGGUAAUACGGAGGGUGCGAGCGUUAAUCGGAAUUACGGGGCGUAAGGUGCUCGUAGGCGGGAUGUCAAGUCAAGGGUGAAAUCCCCGCGCUAAACGUGGGAACUGCCUUUGAAACUGGCAAACUGGAGUGUGUGAGAGGAUAGUGGAAUUCGAGGUGUAGGAGUGAAAUCCGUAGAUAUCUGGAGGAACAUCAAUGGCGAAGGCGACUAUCUGGCACAUAACUGACGCUGAGGAGCGAAAGCGUGGGUAGCAAACAGGAUUAGAUACCCCUGUAGUC
rnacentral:rRNA from 1 species